ensembl:snRNA U6 U6 spliceosomal RNA
UUGCUUCAGCAGCACAUGUACUAAAAUUGGAACGAUACAGAGAUUAGCAUGGCCCUUGCACAAGGAUGACAUGCAAAUUCAUGAAGCAUUCCAUAUUUUU